rnacentral:lncRNA from 1 species
GAGGAAGAGUGACUCAAGCUGUGGUCGUGUGAUUGUCCAUUCAACAGGAGCGUACAUGAGGACCAAGCCAAUGCUGGGCAGGAUCAAGCAAAGACAUUUACAUUUACAUUUACAGCAUUUAUCAGACGCCCUUAUCCAGAGCGACUUACAAUCAGUAGUUACAGGGACAGUCUCCCUGGAGCAAUUUAGGGUUAAGUGUCUUGCUCAGGGACACCAAUGGUAGUAAGUGGGAUUGGACACCAAAGACCUUCCCAGACAUCUUCAGCUGGCGGAGUCUAGUGGAGUCACCUUGAAGUUAACCCUGAUUAGCUAUAUAUGUCUGAUUCUACUGUACAAUACUGUUCAAACAAAGCAAUGUGAUUCUAGUAUAACUCUUAAAUUCGGAGUAAAGUGUUUAUUUAUUUAUUUAUUUUACACUACACAAAGAAAAUGCAUAGAACUCUGCACUAUAAUACCCAUGUAUGGCAUGUUUUAGUUUCACAUGAUUUGUAUAUAUAUUUUUUUCUCAAAUGUAUUAUUUUUUUACUUCAAUAAAGUAGUUUGCAAAGUUGUUUUUCAAUGUUAUUCUAACACCACCCCCAGCUUUUCUUGCACCACUUCAGGUUCACGUCUAUAGUUUUAAACCUUGAUUUAACGUGUUUUGAUAGUUCAUUGUAGCACAAAUCCAGCUCUGAUGUCUGCAUCCUACUCUGCUACUCUUAGUAUGAAAUAAGCUUUUUCUAUUACUGCGCAGCGUAUUAAUUUGACUCAUUUCGUGCUUUUUGUUUUAUGUGCACUGCUCUGGGCGGGCAGAAAAGGACUCGUUUGUGCGAGUUGGGCGCUAAUCGCCGAUCAUAAACGGGUUAAAUUCGCCCCAGCGUCUCCUUAGCGCGUAGCGACGUAGCGUUUUUACUUUCGCUUUACUUCUCCCCGAUGCCCACGGAGCAGGCGACCCGUCCACAGUGACCCGUGGCCACAUGGCGAGGAGAGUCGUCGAGGUCCGCGGCGUGUGCGCGGUGCUUCCCGACGAUCGGAUGGCGGACAAGCUGACGAUCCACUUCCUGCGGCCCAGGAACGGAGGCGGGGACGUGCAGCGGGUCAUUUUCCCCACGUCCGAGCGGGGACAGGCGUUCGUGGUGUUCGAGCUUCCCAGAGUGGCCGACCAUGUUUUAAGACUGAAACACGUGCUGGACAUCGAAGGUCAACUGUUCCCUUUGCAAGUUAGACUAGUGGACCAGGAUGAGGUGGAUUUGCCUGUAGUGACCAAACUGAACCUGAACCUGUUUUCCGGUGAGAGCACUGUGAGGGCUCUCAUAAGAAAACAUGGCUUUAAUGUCACAGAGCUUGGGUCAAGGCAGCUGUACCUAGAAGGCACCUUCUUGAAGCUGAGGGAGCUGAGGACGCAGCUCCAGCAGCUGCUAGAAACUCACCAACGCCCCUCCACCCCUGUCGCCAGUGCCUCGGGUGCAGUCCCCAAAUCGAUGUCCAGAAACAGCCGAGUCAAUGGCAUCCUGACAAACAGUAGCACCGGGAGUCCACUUUAUGCCACAGAGUCAGCAGAUCCCAGCGACCAUUUACACACUCCGCGUUCCUUGUCGACCUCAAAUUCUGGCUCUCCGCGCAGCUUUCCGUCCAAUGACUCUGCGUCGUUCCUGGUGGACUCAGAUGGGUUCCACUAUGCCAUGAAAUUCAGGAAGCCACACAUAGACGACAUUCUGGAGUGCCACUCCGUAGUCAUGAAAUCUGAAGGCGAUACAGAGAUCACCUCGGUCAUGCUCUCGGGAAAGGCCUCGCAGAAAGCCAUGGUGAAGCUGCAGAGCCUCUUUAGCGAGACCACAUCGUCACUCCGCACCCAGGAGAUCGACCUGACUGGAUACGGUUCCGACGACCUGGCGGAACUUGAUAAACUGCUUCAGCAGUAUCAGCGACAAUACAGUGUCCUGCUCAGAAGGCCAGGAGAAGCUAUUGUAAUAAUAGGAACGUCUAAGGACAGUUUUGAGAUGAAGACUAAGCUGAUGAGCCAGUGGGGGCUUAGGAGAGGGCGAGAUGGCAAGAGGGAUUCUAGCUCCCGGCGUAGCAUGUCUUUGCCCAAAUCGCUUAGCAAAAACAGGGCCGUUGCAAAUGUUCCGUUCCAACCAGAACAUGCCUCUGGACCCCAGGUGUCGGCUGCGUGGGGCCACUCUCCUUCACGAUACCAAGACACCCCACGGAGGUCCAAAAGGGAGUCACAGACACGUGGAAACUCGGGGGUCCCAACCCAUGAUGCCAGAGAGGGAACCAAGUCUGCCAAAGAUCAGGCGAAGGUGCCCUCUGGUGGUUCUCAUAUGCCUAAUUUGAAACAGUUCUUGACUAUUGUGACAACCAAAAAAAAGUGACCUACUUAGGACUGCUUGUUUAACAUUUGAAGUAUAUUCAGAAUUUUUUUUAUUAAUAAUCAGUAUCAUUAUUUUCAGCAUAUCUUCUGAUCGGGGGUGAGGGUGAUUUACACAGACCAUUCUAGACAUGAGUAUCAUAUUAAAUAAUCUCUAAUUUUAAAUAAAAACUUAAAUACUCAAUUAAGUGUGAAUUUA